rnacentral:rRNA from 1 species
AGUGAACGCUGGCGGUAGGCCUAACACAUGCAAGUCGAACGGCAGCACAGUGAGAGCUUGCUCUUACGGGUGGCGAGUGGCGGACGGGUGAGGAAUACAUCGGAAUCUACUUUUUCGUGGGGGAUAACGUAGGGAAACUUACGCUAAUACCGCAUACGACCUACGGGUGAAAGCAGGGGAUCUUCGGACCUUGCGCGAUUGAAUGAGCCGAUGUCGGAUUAGCUAGUUGGCGGGGUAAAGGCUCACCAAGGCGACGAUCCGUAGCUGGUCUGAGAGGAUGAUCAGCCACACUGGAACUGAGACACGGUCCAGACUCCUACGGGAGGCAGCAGUGGGGAAUAUUGGACAAUGGGCGCAAGCCUGAUCCAGCCAUACCGCGUGGGUGAAGAAGGCCUUCGGGUUGUAAAGCCCUUUUGUUGGGAAAGAAAAGCAGCAGGUUAAUACCCCGCUGUUCUGACGGUACCCAAAGAAUAAGCACCGGCUAACUUCGUG